rnacentral:lncRNA from 1 species
UCCACCGCUGAGUCCCCUGAUUCCUCUCUACUGUUGCCUAGUCUUCUCUCCGACUUGAUCGUCGGAGGGUCCCCGCCUGAGGCAUCUCCGGUCAGUGUGGACUUUUCAUUGCAGGUGCUCGUUCCUGACGACCAGGCGACGAGGGGAUUGGCCGCAAUAGGUUUGGCGCACCAGGAAGGGGGGUACGACCGGCAUACGACCUCCACAGAGUUUGAAGAACCUUUUCGAGAUGACGAGGACAAGGGC